GACGAACGCUGGCGGCGUGCUUAACACAUGCAAGUGGAGCGACGAACCAGGGCUUGCCCUGGGGCAGAGCCGCGAACGGGUGAGUAACACGUGGGUAACGUGCCCCGAUGACUGGGACAACCCGGGGAAACCCGGGCUAAUACCGGAUAUGCCCCCUGACAUCUGUCAGGUGUGUAAAGGAAGCUUCGGCCUCCGCAUCGGGAUCGGCCCGCGGCGCAUUAGCUUGUUGGUGGGGUAACGGCCUACCAAGGCAACGAUGCGUAGCUGGUCUGAGAGGACGAUCAGCCACACUGGGACUGAGACACGGCCCAGACUCCUACGGGAGGAAGCAGUGGGGAAUCUUGCACAAUGCGCGAAAGCGUGAUGCAGCAACGCCGCGUGCGGGAAGACGGCCUUCGGGUUGUAAACCGCUUUCAGUUGGGACGAAGGUCGGCGCGUUAAUAGCGGGUCCGACUGACGGUACCUUCACAAGAAGCUCCGGCUAACUACGUGCCAGCAGCCGCCGUAAUAC
rnacentral:rRNA from 1 species